AAUGAACGUUGGCGGCGUGGAUUAGGCAUGCAAGUCGAGCGCUCAUCAGCAAUGGUGGGAGCGGCGAACGGCGUAGUAAUGCAUCGGAACGUACCCUCUGGACGGGGAUAGCCACGGGAAACUGUGGGUAAUACCCGAUAAUCUCUGCGGAGCAAAGGUGUGAUUCCGCCGGAGGAGCGGCUGAUGUGAUAUUAGCUAGUUGGUGGGGUAAAGGCCUACCAAGGCGAUGAUGUCUAGGGGGUGUGAGAGCAUGGCCCCCCACGACCGGAACUGAGAUACUGUCCGGACACCUACGGGUGGCUGCAGUCGAGAAUCUUCCGCAAUGGACGAAAGUCUGACGGAGCGACGCCGCGUGCGGGAUGAAGGCCCUUGGGUUGUAAACCGCUGUCAGAGGGGAUGAAAUCGUCGGGGGUACUCCCCCGAUGUUGACAGAGCCUCAAAGGAAGCACGGGCUAAGUACGUG
rnacentral:rRNA from 1 species